AGAGUUUGAUCCUGGCUCAGAUUGAACGCUGGCGGCAGGCCUAACACAUGCAAGUCGAGCGGAUGAAGGGAGCUUGCUCCUGGAUUCAGCGGCGGACGGGUGAGUAAUGCCUAGGAAUCUGCCUGGUAGUGGGGGAUAACGUCCGGAAACGGGCGCUAAUACCGCAUACGUCCUGAGGGAGAAAGUGGGGGAUCUUCGGACCUCACGCUAUCAGAUGAGCCUAGGUCGGAUUAGCUAGUUGGUGGGGUAAAGGCCUACCAAGGCGACGAUCCGUAACUGGUCUGAGAGGAUGAUCAGUCACACUGGAACUGAGACACGGUCCAGACUCCUACGGGAGGCAGCAGUGGGGAAUAUUGGACAAUGGGCGAAAGCCUGAUCCAGCCAUGCCGCGUGUGUGAAGAAGGUCUUCGGAUUGUAAAGCACUUUAAGUUGGGAAGAAGGGCAGUAAGUUAAUACCUUGCUGUUUCGACGUUACCGACAGAAUAAGCACCGGCUAACUUCGUGCCAGCAGCCGCGGUAAUACGAAGGGUGCAAGCGUUAAUCGGAAUUACUGGGCGUAAAGCGCGCGUAGGUGGUUCAGCAAGUUGGAUGUGAAAUCCCCGGGCUCAACCUGGGAACUGCAUCCAGAACUACUGAGCUAGAGUACGGUAGAGGGUGGUGGAAUUUCCUGUGUAGCGGUGAAAUGCGUAGAUAUAGGAAGGAACGCCAGUGGCGAAGGCGACCACCUGGACUGAUACUGACACUGAGGUGCGAAAGCGUGGGGAGCAAACAGGAUUAGAUACCCUGGUAGUCCACGCCGUAAA
rnacentral:rRNA from 1 species